rnacentral:rRNA from 1 species
ACUUGCGCAAUGGGCGAAAGCCUGACGCAGCAACGCCGCGUGGGGGAUGAAGGCCUUCGGGUUGUAAACCCCUUUCAGGAGGGAAGAAAUUGACGGUACCUCCAAAAGAAGGACCGGCCAACUACGUGCCAGCAGCCGCGGUAAUACGUAGGGUCCGAGCGUUAUCCGGAAUCAUUGGGCGUAAAGAGCUCGUAGGCGGUUCAGCAAGUCGGCUGUGAAAGUCCGGGGCUCAACCCCGGAAUUGCAGUCGAUACUGCUGUGACUCGAGUCCGGUAGAGGAGAACGGAAUUCCCGGUGUAGCGGUGAAAUGCGCAGAUAUCGGGAGGAACACCAGUAGCGAAGGCGGUUCUCUGGGCCGGCACUGACGCUGAGGAGCGAAAGCGUGGGGAGCAAACAGGAUUAGAUACCCUGGUAGUCCACGCCGUAAACUUUGGAUACUAGGUGUGGCGGUCUAUACCAACGACUGCUGUGCCGAAGCUAACGCAUUAAGUAUCCCGCCUGGGGAGUACGGCCGCAAGGCUA